CGAAGCAUUACGAGAGAGUGCAAUGAAAAAUAUGGCUAAGAGCAAUUUUUAAAUUGACUAUAUUUUAUUGUCAAAAUUAUUGAAUUUUAUAAACUGAGUCAAUUAUAGUAAUAUUAUAAAUAUUACAAUUCAACAUUACAUUACUAUAUUAAAUUAAAUGUGCUAAUGCAGCAUUAAUAGUAAUCUCAUUUAUAAAUCUAAAAUAUCUGGAUACAUCAAAAUAUUCUAUAAUAUUACAUAACUUGAACGAAAUGAAUCUUAAGUUCAAUAAAACAAAUUGAUUUGGUUGUUAGGGUCUGCAAUGUUGGAUUUGGGUGGAAUCCUCUUGCUAGUCUGGUUCAUUGCCCAUUAUAUUUCUGUUCUUUUAAAUUAAUAAAUAAUAAAUGAUUUUUAGUUCUUUAUGGAUGAUUAUUUUGCUAACUCCUACUAUAUAAAAAAAUUGUGAAAAUAUUUAUCUUACAUUAAUGAAAACCUUUGAUAGAUUUUUCACCACUUUCAUGUAAAAAAAAAAAAUGCAAAAUGAAUUAUUGUACUCUUUCACUUUAUUGAUGUGUUUUCAGGUGUUAGCUCAAAAUAUUGUAACGAACUAAAAUAGUAAGAUAUCUAUAACCUAUAAUAUGUAUCACUAUAAACUAUAUAUUAAUCCUCGAUUCCUUAUACACAUGGCAUAUCUAUAACUAUAGCUAUAUUUAUGUCUAUUUUGCUCGUUCAAGAGUAAGGGUAGUAAUUAAUCCAUUUGUGUUCGGUUCGAAAUAAGCUUGAGAUCGAAUCAUUUUUUUAAUAAACGAACUGAAUACAAGUUGAAUUUUUUAGCUCAUUUAAUAAACGAGUGAAACACGAGUUGAAUUUUUUGGCUCAAUGCUUUAAUGAGCCAGCUCGUGUGGAGCACAAACCAGCCUCAGCUCGCUCAUGUUCGACCCGAUGACAACCUUAUUCAAGAGAGCUCCCGGAAAGGGUUUAAAAUAAGCUAUGUUUGUAGCUCUUUCGAUCUAAAACACUAGUGUGAAAGUGUUCUAUGAACAUAGCAUGCUCUUAAUUUAUUCUAACAUCAUUCGGUCAACACAAGAAGGAACUUUGCAAUCUUAAAACUGUUAUAGUUAUCUUCUUCUGGAUCAAAAAAGGCCUACUUAUUUGACCAAAUGUGUUUGGUUCCUAACAUGCCAAGUGGGCUAUUAUGAAUCUAUGAUUGUAAAUUAUAAUCUAAUCGUAUUACUAAUAUUGUUUGAUAAUAAUGUCCAAUCAUGAUCAUUAUCAAUUAUUUAUUACACGAUAUAGCAGAGUAUUAUCGUUGCUUGCAAUUAUUAGGCUCGUGGAGGGCGAAUUUUGAACCAAAAGUUUAUAUUUCAGUCCCUAAUUUUUAAAAAAUUUUUAAGUUGCAUUAUCUCUUGCAGUCCCAAACAACUCUAAAAAUUCAUCACAACAACACUACACCACUCUUUCUAUUUAUAUAAUCUUUAGGAAGAUCACGCAGAAUCCUAUGCAAGUAGUCCACAAGUUUAAGCAGUUGAUAAAGGAGUGGGAUUAUAUUCUCACAGCUAAACUGACACUUUGAUUUUUUUUUUUUUUAUUUAUUUUUUUGUCAAACUUUCGAGGCUCAUCUCUGUAGCCUAGUUCAUUAUUCUAAUGAAUGAAGCGAUAGUGUACUACUUUUUCCUCAAAAAAAAUACUGAAUAAACAUAUGCAACUCAUUAUAUUGCAUGGGUACAUGAAUACAUGCAGAUACAAAUUUUUUUCGAAACAAUGUAAAAUGGGGAAUAGAUUUUGUUAACUAGAUUUUGUUAAAAAAAAAUGCAAGUAUUAUAACGCCAAUAUUUAAUUUUUAUGCAAUUAUUUAUUAAUAAGUGACCCUUCCAAAUAAUACGUGGAAUCUUACCAUUUAUUUGAUUUGAAUCAAUCAACGAUAUUUUAGUUUUAAAUUUUAAAUAUGUCGCAAUUAUAAAUUUAUUAAAAUAUCGUUGACCGUCUCAAAUUAUAUAAAUUAAAACAUUAAAUAAUUAAGGCUAAAUUACAGAAAAUUCUCUUGUAAUAACCCGUUUUUUCACUUUUCCUUCCUGACAUUUAAAAACCUACACUUUUUUCCCCUGUAAAAUAAAAAAUGUGCACUUCACCCCCUACCGUUAGGGUUCCGUUAAAAAAUAUAUUUUUAUGCCGAAAGUACCCCUCCGCCAUCUCCCUAUUGCUUCGCCUCCCUCCGGCUCGCCACCUCGCCGCCGCCUCGCCGUCUCUCAGCCUAACCGCCUCGCCAUUCCCACUGCCUCGCCCUCACCCACAUCUCCUUCGCCGUCCUCCGCCGCCUCGCCUUCGCCUUCUUUGUCUUUUUUCUACUGUCACCCACCUCGGUUUUCUCCUACUGUCGUCGAAAUCGAAAGGCGGCGAGGAUGCAGGAGGAGAAAGGGAGCAAGUGGAGAAGGAAAUGGAGAGAAAUCGCGGCCGAUUGAGGUGGGAAUCGCGGCCGAACGAGGGAGCGGCUGAGGAAGAUGGGAAAGAAGAUGACAAUGGCGAGAGGCAAAAUGGUCAUUUUAUAUACCGUAACCCUUCUGUGAAUAUUUUUCAUUUUAUAGAGGGGCAAAGUGUAGGUUUCUAAAUAUCAGGAAGGAAAAGUAAAAAAACGGAUUAUUACAGGAGAUUUUCUGUAAUUUAGCCAAUAAUUAAAUACAAAAUAAUUUAACGCUUCGCUAAGUUUUGUAAGUUUUUUUCUAUUUUCGAUUUUGCCACUCCGUGUUUCAUACGCAUAAAGAGGCCCCCAAACAAAAAGUAUACGGAAGAAACAAGGCACGCCCACUUCGCUUCCAUUGACACCCAAACUACUUCGGUGUAACGCUCUAAACAGUCUUAGAGAAUUUAUUCCCUGAACCCGGUGCAACCGUACACCCUGUGCACCGCAUAUCACACAGCGUUCAUUAAUUGCAUUAUUUUCCUCUCCUCCAAUAUUCGGAGGCUAAAGUGGACCUUUAUUUUUAAAUUUUAAUUUUUAUUAUAAUUUCUCGCUUAAAUUUUUAAGAUUAUUAUAAUUAGAUUUCAGAGUCUAAUAUAGUUGACUGAUUGAAUGACACUGCGACUAUAAAAUUCAGUUAAAAAAAUUAUACUACAAAACUUAAUUAUAAUAAUUAGAAAAAUGUAUAUCAAAAUUAUAAUAAAUGAAGAUAAAAAUAUACAGAAUUUAUCUGAACCAUUUUGAAUCGGCUACCUAUUCUUUCGAAUAUUUUGAUUUUACUAUUUAAUCUUUUGAUUUAUUUAAUUUAAGUCAGUCAAAAAUACUUUUCCUUCAAAAUUUAAGUUAACUAAUUUAAUAAAUUAAUAAUUACGAGAAUUAUAUAAAUUUAUAUCGAUUAAAUCUGUAAAAAUAAAUAACGUAUUUAAAUUUAAAAAACUAAAUAUGAAGUAAAUUAAAAUUUUAAAAUGAUUGAUAAAUUCAAAUAAAUUCCAUGGUUAUGUAGAGGGUAGAUGUGGUGGGGUACACCAAAUGUACGGAUAUCUCUGGUUCAGAGAAUAAUCAUCCCAAUCAUAGCCACGGUACUAACACGUGGACUCCACUUUCGCGGGGCCCACAUGUCAUACUCAAGGAUCCGUGGCAUAUCACCGUUACACCGAAUGAAAUGCGUCGUCUUCGUCGCCUCCUCUCACACUCCCCCGGUCUAUAUAAACCCGUCGACUCAUCCCCUCCUAUCUCUCUCUACUACCUCUCUAAUGGCGAUGGCGAUGGCGAUGGCGAAGGAGCCCUUGCUCCGACUCCGCGCCGCGGCGAACGAAGCCCUAGCCGAGUACGAGCCCGUCGCGCUCGUCCUCGCCCCUCUCCUCGCGCUCCUCCUCGCCCGCGCCCUCCACUCCGCCCUCGCCGUGCUCCACGAGAAGGGGAUCCAGGGCGCCGUGCUAGGGUUUCUCAUGAGCUCCGCGAAGUAACCUCUCUCUCUCUCCCUCUCUUUCUCAUUAGAUUGGGAUAAUUAAUGGCUAAUUUGGUGGUUAAUCCUCUUUUCGAUCGGUUGGAUCAGGUUGAUUCCCGGAGUGAGCGGCUACAUCGAAUCGGAGAAGAGGAAGGUUCGUGAUCACUCGAAUCUUUUUUAGUGAAUUCGAUUGUUGUGAUUAGAGAAAUCUAAGUUACUGUGCUGUGGACCUCGCGUGCAUGAGUAGGUUAUUUUGUUCAAGUUGGUAUUGAAUGGGAAGGGGAAUAAUAGUAGUUGUUUAAAACGAAUGGAAAUAGUAGAGUUAUCUAGGAUUCUAGAUCCCUCGAUCUUUGUGCCAAAUUGAGAGAAACCUCCUCCUCCUCCUCCUCUUCUUUUAAUUGGCCAUGGCUUUUAUAGUUUGUGUCAGAGUUUGAGAAUGUACUUUUGCCCAAACAAACCCUCAUUUAUGGUUCAGAGGUCCACAGAACCAAAAAGCAUUUUAGAAACUUCCUCCUACAAUGGUAAGAAAUGGUGAUGGGAACCACCACCAGAAAAGUGAAAAUUGUGGGCCAUGCAUUUUGUUGGUAGGUGAAGAGUGUUUUUUUGCUACUGUCCAAAGUGAGGGGUAAAAAAAAAAAAAGAGGAGCUUUUGAGCCCCAAAUUAAAAGCUCUAUUUGAAAAUUUCCCCUCUACUGCAACAGGAAACUAUUCAUUCUUUUUAAAUAGCAACUGUUAUACCGAAAUUACUAUGAUACAGCUACAUCAUAAUAUUUAGAAUGGAAUUUAGCGGAGCGAGUUCAUAGCAUCCGCUUUAGCUCGCUAAAAUGGGCGCUAUAAAACAGGGCCGAAAAGGACGCUAUGAGCUCAAAAGCUUGAAAAUUGCAAACAUGUCAAAAUGUCUUAUCCUGUCGGGCUUUAAAAUUAAAUAAAAUGAUCAAAAUCCUAUAAAUAGGUUAUAGAUUUUCUGUUUUUCUUUUGUCCUUUUGGUUUGCUAAAUCAUAAUAUUUUAAAAUUAUUCUUCUAGAUAAUGAGAUUAAAUAUGCCUUGCAGUACUAGAAAGAGGUAAUGUCUAGUUAUCUUUUCUUUAAAAUCAUAUGUACUUUCUAUAAGGAAUAUAGCAUAUUAAGUAAUUUUUUGUAAAAGCCGUUAUAGGUUCGUGGCACCCGAUAUGGCGCUUGCUAUCUACUUUCUAUUAUGAGAACCCCUAAAUGCUAUAUACCCACUAUCAGCUACUUACAACCUUAAAGCUAUUGGAGAACUUUAACAAAACUAUCGGUGUUACCAGGAACAACUUUACUCAAGAAGCAACUUUGUGGAAUCAUCAACAAUGCCAUUCAGACCAUUAAAACACAUGAUUUGUUUGUAUGCCAUGCAUGCAUGUUCAAUGUAUUACACAGACUUAACUGAAUUGAAACUAAUGGAUUUCUAUUGCUGGUUUUGUACUGUUUUUGUAGCUGUUUAGUAAGUUUAUUACUUAAACACUUUGCUCUAACUACUGUUCUUGGCAUCUUCUACUAGGUUGUUGACAAGUUGCAGUCAGGAAGCAAGUCUCAAAGAGAGAACUGGAGAACCGAGUUACCGAUUGUUGGGCUUAGUGAAGGAGCAAUUCAGGAACUUAAAGAAGCAAAAGCUAAAGAUGUGGUUUGGCAAGGCAAAUGCUCUGGUACAGUGUACGUCUGCUAUUAAAAAUUUAGAAGAUCAGCAGAUGCCGCAAAAUCACCCGAUCCGUUUCCAAUAAAUUAAAUGCUCAUCAAUCUUUUCAUGCUGCAGAUAUAUUGCUGGAAAUGAGUCUGAUGGCCAUUUUGCGCUGAUAAACGAGGCAUAUUCAAUGUAAGUUGAGACAACAUGGCGCAGUCUUAAUACUUUUCAGUCCAUCACUGUGUCCCUGAUUUAAAAUUGACCAACCUGACCUAGAUUGGGUUAUAUUCAGAUUAAAAUUAGUUUUGCAAGGAAACAAAUGUGAAUAUCUGUUGGACAAUGUCAGCUAUUCAUGUUGUAUUCGAUAUUAUUAUGGUAGUUAUCAUAUCGAUUAUCUUAAUUCAGGUUUUCACACACCAAUCCGCUACACCAGGAUGUGUUCCAGAGUGUGGCACGUUUUGAGGCGGAGGUGGUUGCGAUGACAGCUGCUCUUCUUGGCAGCAAGGAAAAGACAUCUGGAGGGCAAAUUUGUGGCAACAUGACAUCAGGAGGGACAGAAAGCAUACUAUUGGCUGUUAAAACAUCUCGUGACUAUAUGAGGUCGAAGAAGGGAAUUACUAAACCAGAAAUGUGAGUCAUAAGUGGUGUUGUUUCUAUGAAAUUUAGUCUUUGCAAUUUGAUCUGAACUUCAAUUUUGUCUUUAGAAUUUCAAUCGUAACAAUCUUGAAUCCCAUUUUGAUUUCACUCUCACUGUCAAUUCGACAAUUUGGUCCCUCAUGUUUAAUCACGAUUUCCAAUUUAGUCGUUAAGGUUUCUAUUUUAAAUAAGUGAAGUCUUACAAUGUUGGUUACAUGGUGCUUUUUGCAGCUAAUAUUCCUGUAGAAAGACUAUAUUGUUAUGCAUUACAAGCUUCAGGGGCUGAUUUGUUAUAAUGAAACUAUGAGGAUGAAAGUGAGACUAGGUCAAAAUUCAGGACUAAAUUUGUAAUUAACCCUGUUCAUAUUUGUCUUGCUCUCUUGCUAAUUGGCUAACUUAACAGGAUAAUACCUGAAUCAGCACAUUCUGCAUAUGACAAGGCUGCACAAUAUUACAACAUCAAGCUGUGGCGUGUACCCGUAAACAAGAACUUUGUUGCAGACGUUAAAGGAAUAAAGCAACGCAUCAACAGAAACACCAUACUGGUAUUUUACUCGUCCUCCACUCUUGUACCACACUCCGUAUGUUUCUGUUGAUCAGGAGUGUGGUUUAAUAUCAUUAUUGCACUAUUGAUCUAAGUAAACAAGAAUUAUGGUAUAGCUUACAGUAUCAGUUUCUCAUAAAAUGGAUUAAUGAUUAGAUUUUCAACACUAACGUGCUUUUCUUGUUCCAGAUUGUUGGUUCUGCACCCGGAUUUCCACAUGGCAUUAUCGAUCCCAUAGAAGUAUGUUGAAUUGUGGACAUCCUCCAAAAAAAUUUCGACUGCGUCACGGUAUUUGUUUGUGGAGUUUUUGCCUCCUUUGUUACUUACUCGAUAGUAUGAUUUUUGCAACUUAGGAGCUUGGAGAACUGGCGUCAUCUUAUGGUAUUUGCCUGCAUGUUGAUCUUUGCCUUGGUGGCUUCGUUUUGCCAUUUGCUCGUAAGCUUGGGUAUUUAUUCUUAGCGGGAUAAUCCAUUGCAUUCGGUUACACUCAACAUCUUAUGUUUUUAUGUUCUACUCCACUUUUAUCAUUGUUGCACUUUAAUAAUAGUUGGAACCAAAUAGAAAAUAAUAAACACAUUGUAUAUGAGAUCUCAAGUGGGUUUCGUCUUCAUCUUCAAAUAAAGAGUUAAUCUGAGAGUUUCCUAGCAUGCCGGCGUGUACAUGACAUGUUUAGAAUGCUAAAUUGGUCUCAUCUUAGAACCUAGAUUAAAUGCUAACCGCAUUCUGAAUUUUCAAGUGUGGAAGUGAAGAUCAGAGCUCGAAUCAUGAGGCCACAAAAGCAAAAAUUUACUUGGGUAUAUUGAUGUCAAGUAUACCUCAUGUAACAAACCAUAACUUCUACUUAUAUUGUGAGAGGCAAUUCAUUAAGUAGUGGAUGCAAUAGUAGAUGACCUUUUAGUGUUUUGUUGACAUUUUGGUAAUGGUAUUUGUAUGCAUAUAAUGAAACAUUGUGAUCUAUUCAUUAUUCAGCGCUUUAAUUUAGUUUCAAAUUUGAAGAAGUGGAGAAGGGACAUGAAUUCAGGUUUUUGACUAGUACUAUUGAGGAAAACACAUGGCAUGUUACAGCAGAAAUGAAAGUUGACACAGCAUCAAUGGAAAAAAAAAAAAAAAAACUUGAAGAGGAAAGAGCAUUAUUUACAAGAAAGAACAGACAAAACAGUGCUGGUUGCUGAUGAGUGAACUCCAUAGCUUUAGAUUUUUAAGAACCACUUGAAUUGUUAGUUGCACUGCCAAUGUAAUGUACUCUGCACUACACACUUCAUUCUUUUCUUAUGAAGAUAUGAUGACACAUAGUGAUCUAAUUUUCGUACUAGUAGUCUAGGUCCAUUUCCAGAAUGAUUCCUAUCGGCAACAUGUGCUGUCAUAUAGAUGCUUUAAGAUAACCAGUAGUAGUUUAUUGCAUCAUUCCGUAAGUUUUGCAUUUUUACCUUCUAAUUUAUGUUUUCCCGCAAAGGCCAUACGACUGUAGUUUUAAACAGUUUGUAUUAUGCAGGUAUCCACUUCCACCUUUCGAUUUCUCUGUGAAAGGAGUUACAUCCAUUUCAACAGAUGUCCAUAAGUAUGGAUUAGCUCCUAAGGGCACGAGUAUAGUUCUUUACAGAAAUCAUGAAAUUAGAAAGGUAAAAUAUCUAUCUGCUUACGCUGAGCUAUAAAUCUCUUCCGUAGUUCGAAGGAAACAUACUGAAUUUUUUGAGGGCAUCUAAAAACUAUUUCAGAAAUUCUUUAGAUGUAGAUUAUUGAAGAUUGAAGAACUCUAUGACUUCAUUAUCGAUGGGUACUAAUUCAUUAUUCAUUUUGUUUGCUUUGCACUAUCGACUAUUGGUGAUAUCUUCAACAGCAUCAAUUUGUUGCCGGUAAGUAAUUGUCCUUUACAUGAUUUUUGAAGAAUUAUUGUUAUUAUUAUUUUUCCUUCUGUUCUGAAGCAUGCUACUUUCUGAAGGUUUUCAGUUUCAUCCAAAUUGAAAAUUGGUUGCUAGUUGGACUCAUUCGCAAAUUAGCUGAUCAAUCACUCUAUUUUCUUAAUUAGGUUAGGUAGCCUAAAAUCAAGAGAUAGUAUAGUUGGACUCAUUCACAAAUUAUCUGAUCAAUCAGUCUAUUUUCUUAAUUAGGUUAGGUAGGCUAAAAUCAACAGAUAUGAACUUUUUUAAGGCAACAGAAAGGAUGAAAACUGAAUAAAAUAAAUGCUAAGUUAUGACCUGAUGAUGAUACUCUUAUCUAGGAAAUAUUUCUUCCUUGUGGUUGACUAAUACAAAAAAACAACAACUUUGAUUGGUGUAAGGUGGUUUUUUUUUUAUUGAAAUUUUGUUUUUAUAAAAUAAAUAUCUAAUGCAACUCCUUUCUUUUUCAUUCAUGGCCUUAUCUCCUUGUUACAGUAACUGAGUGGUCAGGCGGGCUGUACGUUUCCCCUACGAUGGCAGGAAGCCGGCCUGGUGGAUUAAUCGCCGGGGCUUGGGCCGCUAUGAUGUCACUAGGCCUGAACGGUAAACAAUAACUUGUUUUUCUUUUUUUCCUUUAUUUCCAACUGAACUUGAUUAAUACAAAGUUUCACUACAAUGCUUAAAACAAAAGUUGCACCUCCCCUGUUAUCUUAUUAUUAGGAUACUUGGAAAAUACGAGACAGAUAAUGGAAGUAGCGAAGAAGAUACAGAAAGGGUAAAUUGCGACAAAAAGUUUCACUUCAUUUUCAUUUGUGAAUGAAAAACUCAAGAUGUUCUUAACAUCAGAGACCUGUCCACAGGAUAGAGGAGAUUCCACAGUUGUUUAUCGUUGGAAAACCGCACAUGACUGUGAUAGCUUUCGGCUCGAAUGUCCUCGACAUCUUUGAGGUGAACGAUAUAAUGUCGUCGAAAGGGUGGCACCUGAGUGCUUUGCAGAGACCUAACAGGUAAACCCUAGUUUUUACUACCUAUUGUUUAAUCUCGUGCGAUGCAUGACAAAGAAAAGCUAAAAAGCAAUUUCAUUUAAAAAAAUAUCUUCUUUCCCCCCACACCCCCCCCAACAUAAAAAACCUUUUCUUUUCUUCUUUUUUUUUUUUUUCUGUUUUGGAAACAUGAUACUGCUUUCAAUUUUGCAACUUAAGAUCAAUUUUCAACUUUUAGGCCAAAUUGUCCCUACGCUGUGGGGCGGAGAUGCACAAUUUCAAAUGUGCGCAGUGAUAAAAACAAUUCAUUGACGAAUGUUUUUCGAGAUUAAAUGAUAGUUUUUGUGUGCGCGCGCGCGCGCAAUAAGGUCUAUAAAGGACUAUUGGAAAACUUUAUGUAUCUAUAGAAAAUUAUAAUGCACGGUAUAAAGGAUAAAUCAAAGUAGAAUGCUACGGAGACCAUGAUUGUAGCGAACUAGAGAUUGAGAUGAAUUAAAUAAACCGAGAAUAUCGUCCGUGCACUCUGCUAAUGUUUGAUCUUUAUUGGACUACCUAAAUUUUUAUAUUUAUUCUACAUUAAUGUUAAAUUGUUUAUAACAUCUAACAAAUCACUUCUUCGCUCAGCCUUCAUAUUUGCGUGACCCUUCAACACGUUACUGUUUUCGAAGACUUCCUCAACGAUCUAAAAGAUUCUGUUAAAAUUGUAAGCGCUCUCUCUCUCUCUCUCUCUCUCUCUCUCUCUCUCUCUCGUUUUUUUUUUGUUUAAUUAUUUUCUGCAAUCCUCUUUACAUUUAUUUUGCCUCCCCUUUACUUAAUUCUCUGCGCUGUUCUAUGGCUUCUCUUUUAGGUAAAAGAGAACCCCGGCCCGAUAGACGGAGGGAUGGCUCCGAUCUACGGUGCGGCAGGGAAGAUGCCGGACCGAGGAAUGGUGCGGGAUUUGUUGGUGGAAUUCAUGGAUGGCACUUGCUAGGUGAGCUAUUGAGCUCUACACAAACAUCAUACAACACCAUCUUUUAUUCUUCAUCUCUAUUUCUGUUAACCACAUUUACAAUAAAAACAUGUGCUGAAUAUCUCCAAGUGAUUUCUAUUUAUUCACUCCCUGUGUUAGCAUAUAACCGAAUGGGUAUAAAAUUGUAACAUGUUGUACAUGUUAAUCUGUGUAUUUUCAUUUCUACUCCUGUUGCCACAUUUACAAUAAACAUAUGCUGAAUAGCUUUUAGUGAUUUCUAUUUGUUUACUCCCGUGUUAGCAUAUAGUCAAAUGGGCAUAGAUUGUAACGUGUCGUACAUGAUGAUCUGUGUAUCUGCGCUGCUUGACUUGUUUAUACAAUGGUAAAUGCAAUUUCAUAUCCGUGCUGAUGAAUCCCAUUGAGUGGUUUUAUGUCCUUGGAUGUUUCUGUGUUGAAAUUUAAUGCUAAACUUAAUUCUCUGUUCGUAUGGUAAUGCAAUUUCAUAUCUGUGCUGUUGUGUGUCCUUGAAUGUUUCAGUGUUGAAACUUACGACUAAACUUAAUUCUCUAUUCGAAUGUUACCUUACAAUCCCCAUAAGCUUUUGGAUUGUACUUCUAGAAUCGGGAUCCAAUAACCACUACUGGAUGUGAGUAGGGAUGCAAACGGAUCUGGAUUGGUGGAGCUCACACGCCAAUCCGCCCCGAAUUGGGCAGUAAACGAGAGAAAAUAAACUGAAACAAGAAUAAUUUUAUGAUCCGAGAUGAAUUUGGGAAGAAAUUUUGACCCGUCCCGAAUCCGUCCCGAAAACUAUUUAUAUUUUAAAAAAAUAUUCCUAAAAAAUAAUAUAUUUACAAACAAGGUUUAAAAUACAAAUAAUUUAUUGCUUUCAUUUUUCAUGUAUUUAAAAUUUUUGAAUUUUAUUUUGAAUUGUGAUUAACAUUUUUAAUUUUUAUAAUUGAUAUUAUUAAUUAUAUAUAUAAUAUUAUUAAAAAUUAUUAUUUUAUAUUUUAUAAAAUAUUAAUAAUAUUAUAAUUUUAUAAAAAAUAUUAGUUCGUGGGGCAGAUUCGGAAACCGGCGGGAGGCAGGUUACGAGGCGGGGCGGAUUAUGGAAUAUAACUUUUAAUCCGUCACGAAUUCGAGACGGGAGGUGGGGCGGAAGGCGGGACAGGGCUCUUACCCCCAGAUCCGUCCCGUUUUGUAUCCCUAGAUGUGAGUUGAAUUGGUCGUUCGAUGGAGCCACAGAAGUUUAAGCAAUUGGAUUAUUCUACGAGGAUCCAUGCCCAACAAUCUGGGUAAUAGGAAAGUCGGACUGUUUGGGCUUGUUCGGCUUCGAUAAAGGCUUUUUUAAAAGUGUUAUUUGAUUAAAACUAUUUUAAAAAGUAUAGAGUAUAUUUUCAUUAGAAUUAUCUAACGGCUUCAUAUUACUGCAGUAAGUGGUGUCAAUAUCUUAUUUACCGUGGGGUACAUUAAAAUUACCAAUUUUUGAGCUAUACGAAUAUUAGACAAAUAGUGUUGAAAAUUAUAAAAUUUAAUUUUUAAAAAUUUUAAAUAAUCUAAUUCAUGUUAUGGUAUUGUACUCCGAUUUGGAUAUUUUAAAUAACACGGGAAUAAACAGCUCUGCUCUUUUUUCCAUUGUUGCUUAACUCAAUAUAUUAGUACGUGUAAGUCUAAGGAAAAUUUUUUUUUCUUAUGGUAAACUUGAAUUUGCCCCCUUAUAAUGAGCGUCUCUUCACUUUACCAAUCUUUAGUUUAAAAAUGUUGCACUUAAUUAUUCUAUAAUAUAGUAUAUUUUUACAUUUUUAUUUUCUAAUUUAAAAGAUAUACUUAACUAUCUUAUAAUUUUAUUAUUUUUAUUUUACUAUAAAAAUCUACUACCAAAUAGGAUACUAUUCUAUACUUUUUUAAAAAAAUUAUUUUAUUAUUCUAUUUGAGAUUGAUUUUUUUCGUUGAAACAAAAGUAAAAUUAUAAAAUAAUUAAAUGUUAUUUUUUAAAUUAUGGAAUAUCAAAAUAUAAAUAAGCUAUGCCACGGAGUAAAGAUUUGGCCUUUCUCUUAUUAAGGCUUAGUUUGAUAUUGAUAUCUAUCUAACGCUAUUAGAUAAAAUAAAAUGAAGUUGAGAAAAAAAAAAGUAGGAAUAUAUUUCUGUAUUCUCCGAUAGGACCGUAGAAAAUAUAUCAUAACCAACUCAUCGUGAUAUAUGAAAAAUAAUAUUAUGUACGGAAACAAACAGAAUAUUUUUCUAACGUACUUUCUCACCGCACGUAACAUAAUCUCCCCGCAAUCCCAAACAAAGGCUAAACCCUGUUCAUCCUUUUCUUCAAGAGUAUCCAAUUACCCAACAACGACGACCCCAACCCCGAGUCAGGUUUAAACUUUAAACCCCAUGCUGAUGCGGUGGACCACUGUUUAGUGUUCACCCUGUCUCUCUCUGCCACUAUUCAGCGCUGUGGCCACUUUCUCUCUCUACCCGUGAGUGUUUUUUUUUUUUUUUUUUUUUUUUUUUUUUUUUUUUUUAGUGAACUUCGAAUAUUACUUCUAUAAUUUCGUAAUUUCUCACUUUAAUACUAUAUGAUUUAAAGUAUAUUAAGUUAGUAUUAUGUAAUUUUAUUUUUAUCUUUUCGUCAGCUUUUUCGUUAAUAUUUUAUUAAAUUAUAUACAAAAAAAUUUCAGAUACCGUACAUAGGUUUAUCGAAUAUUCACUUUAGUAUUCUUUAGCCUUAAUUUUGUCACUGAUUUAACGAAAAAUAUUAAUAAAAUUGAUAAUAAAAAAAUAAAAAUGAAACCAUAUAUCAUUAAAUUGAUACAUUUUAAACCACAGGUACUAAAGUGAUAAAGUGCGAAAGCACAAGGUGGUAUUUGAAGUUUUUUUUUUU
rnacentral:lncRNA from 1 species